rnacentral:rRNA from 1 species
UACGAAGGACCCAAGCGUUAUCCGGAUUUAUUGGGCUUAAAGGGUGCGUAGGCGGGUUAUUAAGUCAGUGGUGAAAGCCUACAGCUUAACUGUAGAAUUGCCAUUGAUACUGAUGAUCUUGAGUAUGAUUGAGGUGGGCGGAAUGUGUCAUGUAGCGGUGAAAUGCUUAGAUAUGACACAGAACACCGAUUGCGAAGGCAGCUCACUAAGCCAUAACUGACGCUGAUGCACGAAAGCGUGGGGAGCAAACAGG